rnacentral:rRNA from 1 species
GAUGAACGCUGGCGGCGUGCUUAACACAUGCAAGUCGAAUGUAGCAAUACAUGGCGGACGGGUGAGUAAUGCGUGAGCAACCUGCCCAUAUCUGGGGGAUAACAGUUGGAAACGACUGAUAAUACCGCAUAAUAUCGUAUGAAGGCAUCUUCUAACGAUCAAAGAUUUAUCGGAUAUGGAUGGGCUCGCGUCUGAUUAGGCAGUUGGUGAGGUAACGGCUCACCAAACCUACGAUCAGUAGCCGACCUGAGAGGGUGAUCGGCCACAUUGGAACUGAGACACGGUCCAAACUCCUACGGGAGGCAGCAGUGGGGAAUAUUGGGCAAUGGAGGAAACUCUGACCCAGCAACGCCGCGUGAAUGAUGAAGGUCUUCGGAUUGUAAAGUUCUUUUCUAAGGGAAGAAGAAAGUGACGGUACCUUAGGAAUAAGCCUCGGCUAACUACGUGCCAGCAGCCGCGGUAAUACGUAGGAGGCAAGCGUUAUCCGGAAUGACUGGGCGUAAAGGGUGCGUAGGUGGUUCAGCAAGUUAGUAGCGUAACUCCGGGGCUCAACUCCGGCACUACUACUAAAACUGUUGGACUUGAGUGCAGGAGGGGCAACUGGAAUUCCUAGUGUAGCGGUGGAAUGCGUAGAUAUUAGGAAGAACACCGGUGGCGAAGGCGAGUUGCUGGACUGUAACUGACACUGAGGCACGAAAGCGUGGGGAGCAAACAGGGAUUAGAUACCCUGGUAGUCCACGCCCGUAAACGAUGAAUACUAGGUGUAGGGGGGUAUCGACUCCCUCUGUGCCGCCGCUAACGCAUUAAGUAUUCCGCCUGGGGACUACGGCCGCAAGGUUGAAACUCAAAGAAAUUGACGGGGACCCGCACAAGCAGCGGAGCAUGUGGUUUAAUUCGACGCAACGCGAAAAACCUUACCAGGCCUUGACAUUGAGUGAAAGUCCAAGAGAUUGGACCCUCCUUCGGGACACGAAAACAGGUGCUGCAUGGUUGUCGUCAGCUCGUGUCGUGAGAUGUUAGGUUAAGUCCUGCAACGAGCGCAACCCUCAUAUACAGUUGCCAAUAUUAAGUUAGGAACUCUGUAUAGACUGCCGUGGUUAACACGGAGGAAGGUGGGGAUGACGCCAAAUCAUCACGGCCCUUACGGCCUGGGCUACACACGUGCUACAAUGGCUAUUACAAAGAGUUGCAAUACAGCAAUGUGGAGCGAAUCUCAAAAAGAUAGUCUCAGUUCGGACUGUGGGCUGCAACCCGCACACACGAAGUCGGAGUUGCUAGUAAUCCCGAAUCAGCAUGUCGGGGUGAAUGCGUUCCCGGGUAUUGUACACACCGCCCGUCAAGCCAUGGGAGUUGGGAGUACCCAAAGUCGGUGACCUAACC